rnacentral:rRNA from 1 species
UAGGGAAUCUUCCACAAUGGACGCAAGUCUGAUGGAGCAACGCCGCGUGAGUGAAGAAGGUUUUCGGACCGUAAAGCUCUGUUGUUGGUGAAGAAGGAUAGAGGUAGUAACUGGCCUUUAUUUGACGGUAAUCAACCAGAAAGUCACGGCUAACUACGUGCCAGCAGCCGCGGUAAUACGUAGGUGGCAAGCGUUGUCCGGAUUUAUUGGGCGUAAAGCGAGCGCAGGCGGAAGAAUAAGUCUGAUGUGAAAGCCCUCGGCUUAACCGAGGAAUUGCAUCGGAAACUGUUUUUCUUGAGUGCAGAAGAGGAGAGUAGAACUCCAUGUGUAGCGGUGGAAUGCGUAGAUAUAUGGAAGAAUACCAGUGGCGAAGGCGGCUCUCUGGUCUGCAACUGACGCUGAGGCUCGAAAGCAUGGGUAGCGAACAGGAUUAGAUACCCUGGUAGUCCAUGCCGUAAAACGAUGAGUGCUAAGUGUUGGGAGGCUUCCGCCUCUCAGUGCUGCA